rnacentral:rRNA from 1 species
UUCCUACGGGUGGCAGCAGUGGGGAAUUUUGGACAAUGGGGGCAACCCUGAUCCAGCCAUUCCGCGUGAGUGAAGAAGGCCUUCGGGUUGUAAAGCUCUUUCGGCAGGAACGAAACGGUGUGGGCCAAUACCCUGCAUCAAUGACGGUACCUGAAGAAGAAGCACCGGCUAACUACGUGCCAGCAGCCGCGGUAAUACGUAGGGUGCGAGCGUUAAUCGGAAUUACUGGGCGUAAAGCGUGCGCAGGCGGUGGUGUAAGACCGGUGUGAAAUCCCCGGGCUUAACCUGGGAACUGCGCUUGUGACUGCACGACUAGAGUGUUGCAGAGGGGGGUGGAAUUCCACGUGUAGCAGUGAAAUGCGUAGAGAUGUGGAGGAACACCGAUGGCGAAGGCAGCCCCCUGGGUUAACACUGACGCUCAUGCACGAAAGCGUGGGUAGCAAACAGGAUUAGAUACCCGAGUAGUCGC